rnacentral:tRNA from 1 species
GGGCUGGUAGUUCAGCGGUAGAACGCCGCUUUUGCAAAGCGGAGGCCGAGGGUCCGACUCCCUCCCAGUCCA